CUUCAGAGGAGUUAGCCACAUUCCAAUGUGUGCGGAUCAGCAAAAAAUGCGGAAUAACCCUUUAACCGUACAUUUGACAGAUACGCGUGCAUUGACUUUUUCGUAGAUCUUAUUGAGAUACAUGUGUGUGUCAAUUUUUGUGUCAUUUUGACAAAGCGUACAGGCGUGACACUCAACAGUGCGUAUUUUCACCUUAGGGGACAAGAAAAAAUGGACUUUUUUCUCCUGCCAUGGGGGGGCGCUCUUUUGGGGAGUAAAAAUUCCUUCACAAAUGUGUUGAUGGCUGGACAUUGCAUCAUCCUAGAAAACUUGGAGGCCAGUGAGGGCAAAAAUAAAAAGUUAUAAGACUUUGAAAUAUGUGGAUUUUAGGGUUAUCUUUGGCGCCCCCUAGAACCUAAACCGUGGGGUGCAGCGUCAUGAUUUGAAUAACUUUUAAUGGCCAUGGGGUGUAGAUUGGCCUGAGCAAAUGUGGUGCCGGUGGAACGAAAGCCUUCGGAGGAGUUAGCGAAAUUCCAAUGUGUGCGGAUCGGCAAAAAAUGCGCAAUAACCCUUUAACCGUACAUUUGACAGAUACGCCCGCACUGACUUUUUUGUAGAUCUUAUUGAGAUACAUGUGUGUGUCAAUUUUUGUGUCAUUUUGCCAAAGCGUACAGGCGUGACACUCAACAAUGUGUAUUUUCACCUUAGGGGACAAGAAAAAAUGGACUUUUUUCUCCUGCCAUGGGGGGGGGGGGCGCUCUUUUGGCGAGUAAAAAUUCCUUCACAAAUGUGUUGAUGGCUGGACAUUGCAUCAUCCUAGAAAACUUGGAGGCCAGUGAGGGCAAAAAUAAAAAGUUAUAAGACUUUUAAAUAUGUGGAUCUUAGGGUUAUCUUUGGCGCCCCCUAGAACCUAAACCGUGGGGUGCAGCGUCAUGAUUUGAAUAACUUUAAAUGGCCAUGGGGUGUAGAUUGGCCUGAGCAAAUGUGGUGCCGGUGGAACGAAAGCCUUCGGAGGAGUUAGCGAAAUUCCGAUGUGUGCGGAUCGGCAAAAAAUGCGAAAUAACCCUUUAACCGUACAUUUGACAGAUACGCGCGCAUUGACUUUUUUGUAGAUCUUAUUGAGAUACAUGUGUGUGUCAAUUUUUGUGUCAUUUUGACAAAGCGUACAGGCGUGACAGUCAAUAGUGUGAAUUUUCACCUUAGGGGGCGCUAUGGAGCCAUUUUGCAUUUUCUUGUUUGGGCGACUUCGGAAUAUCAAAUUUUUCACCAGGCCCGGUAGUCCUGCCAAAUUUCAUGAGUUUUCGCCAGUGGGAAGUGGGCCAUUUUCCAGUUCAAAGGGGAGGAAAAAUAAUAAUAAUAACUAGGGCCCCGGUGGGGCACUGUCGGGCCCGAGCCGCGUCGAGCCGCCCCCAGCGCGACCGCCUCCCCCUCCCGAUCGCGUCACACUCAAGGUCCAAAGAUGGUGUGCGCACUUGUCUGUGGUCAUUUCCCAUUAUAAUGAAUGGGAGGCGCAGUUUCUACCAAAACACUCGCUGCAGACAAACUACAUGUCCUAUUUGAAAAAAGUCUGGACCAUGAGUGAGGGCACAAACACAGCUAGGAUAUAUCCAAACGGCAAGUUGCUCCUCAUUACGGUGUUGCCGGGAGAGCGAUGCGAUUGAGCCAUUGAGUGAUGGGCAGGAAAAACUUGGGGGAUGGGGGGGGGGAUGUAGAUUCUUUUAAGAAUGUGGAUAUUUGGACAUUGCAUCAUCCUAGAAAACUUGGAGGCCAGUGAGGACGAAAAUAAAAAGUUAUAAGACUUUUAAAUAUGUGGAUAUUUGUGUCAUCUUUGGCGCCCCCUAGAACGUAAACUGUGGGGUGCAGCGUCAUGAUUUGAAUAACUUUCAAUGGCCAUGGGGUGUAGAUUGGCCUGAGCAAAUUUGGUGCCGAUGGAACGAAAGCCUUCAGAGGAGUUAGCCACAUUCCAAUGUGUGCGGAUCAGCAAAAAAUGCGGAAUAACCCUUUAACCGUACAUUUGACAGAUACGCGUGCAUUGACUUUUUCGUAGAUCUUAUUGAGAUACAUGUGUGUGUCAAUUUUUGUGUCAUUUUGACAAAGCGUACAGGCGUGACACUCAACAGUGCGUAUUUUCACCUUAGGGGACAAGAAAAAAUGGACUUUUUUCUCCUGCCAUGGGGGGCGCUCUUUUGGGGAGUAAAAAUUCCUUCACAAAUGUGUUGAUGGCUGGACAUUGCAUCGUCCAAGAAAACUUGGAGGCCAGUGAGGACAAAAAUAAAAAGUUAUAAGACUUUUAAGAAUGUGGAUAUUUGGGUCAUCUUUGGCGCCCCCUAGAACGUAAACCGUGGGGUGCAGCAUCAUGAUUUGUACAACUUUUAAUGGCCAUGGGGUGUAGAUUGGCCUGAGCAAAUUUGGUGUCGGUGGAAUGAAAGCCUUCGGAGGAGUUAGUGAAAUUCCAAUGUGUGCGGAUCGGCAAAAAAUGCAAAAUAGCCCUUUUACCGUACAUUAUACAGAUACGCGCUCUUUGACUUUUUCGUAGAUCUUAUUGAGAUACACGUGAUUGUCAAAUUUUGUGUCAAUAUGACAAAGCGUUUAGGCGUGACACUCAACAAUGUGUAUUUUCACCUUAGGGGACAAGAAAAAAUGGACUUUUUUCUACUGCCAUGGGGGGGCGCUCUUUUGGGGAGUAAAAAUUCCUUCACAAAUGUGUUGAUGGCUGGACAUUGCAUCAUCCUAGAAAACUUGGAGGCCAGUGAGGACAAAAAUAAAAAGUUAUAAGACUUUUAAGAAUGUGGCUUUUUGGGUUAUCUUUGGCGCCCCCUAGAACCUAAACCGUGGGGUGCAGCGUCAUGAUUUGUACAACUUUUAAUGGCCAUGGGGUGUAGAUUGGCCUGAGCAAAUUUGGUGCCGGUGGAAGGAAAGCCUUCGGAGGAGUUAGCGAAAUUCCAAUGUGUGCGGAUCGGCAAAAAAUGCGAAAUAGCCCUUUAACGGUACAUUUGACAGAUACGCCCGCACUGACUUUUUUGUAGAUCUUAUUGAGAUACACAUGUGUGUCAAUUUUUGUGUCAUUUUGACAAAGCGUACAGGCGUCAGGUGAGUUUUCACCAUAGGGGGCGCUAUGGAGCCAUUUUUCAUUUUUUUGUUUGGGCGACUUCAGAAUAUCGAAUUUUUCACCAGGCCCGGUCGUCCUGCCAAAUUUCCUGAGUUUUCGCCAGUGGGAAGUGGGCCAUUUUCCAGUUUAAAGCGGAGGAAAAAUAACGAAAGAAGAAUCCAUCAGGAACAAGAGGGCUCUCGCAGCUGCUUAGCAGCUACGCUCGGGCCCUAAUAACAAAAGAAGGAAACAUGCAGGAACAAGAGGGCUCUCGCAGCUGCUUAGCAGCUACGCUCGGGCCCUAACUAGGGCCCCGUUGGGGCACUGGCGGGCCCGAGCCAUGUUGCGCCACCCCCAGCGGGACCGCCUCCCCCUCCCGAUCCCGUCACACUCAAGGUCCAAAGAUGGUGUGCGCACUUGUCUGUGGUCAUUUACCAUUAUAAUGGAUGGGAGGCGCAGUUUCUACCAAAACGCUCGCUGCAGACAAACUCCUGGCCCUUUUUGAAAAAAGUCUGGACCAUGAGUGAGGGCACAAACACAGCUAGUAUAUAUCCAAAUGGCAAGUUGCUCCUCCUUUCGGUUUUGCCGAGAGAGCGAUGCGUUUGAGCCAUUGAGUGAUGGGCAGGAAAAACUUGACUUUUUCUACUGCCAUAGGGGGGCGCUCUUUUGGGGAGUAAAAAUUCCUUCACAAAUGUGUUGAUGGCUGAACAUUGCAUCAUCCUAGAAAACUUGGAGGCCAGUGAGGACAAAAAUAAAAAGUUACAAGACUUUUAAGAAUGUGGAUAUUUGGGUCCUCUCUGGCGCCCCCUUGAACCUAAACCGUGGGGUGCAGCGUCAUGAUUUGUACAACUUUGAAAGGCCAUGGGGUGUAGAUUGGCCUGAGCAAAUUUGGUGUUGGUGGGACGAAAGCUUUAGGAGGAGUUAGCCACAUUCCAAUGUGUGGAAUGUGGAUUUUUGGGUCAUCUUUGGCGCCCCCUAGAACGUAAACCGUGGGGUGCAGCGUCAUGAUUUUUACAACUUUGAAUGGCCAUCGCGUGUAGAUUGGCCUGAGCAAAUUUGGUGUCAGUGGGACGAAGACCUUAGGAGGAGUUAGCCACAUUCCAAUGUGUGCGAAUCGGCAAAAAAUGCUAAAUAGCCCUUUAACCGUACAUUUUACAGAUAUGCGCGAAUUUACUUUUUCGUAGAUCUUAUUCAGAUACACGUGAUUGUCAAAUUUUGUGUCAAUAUGACAAAGCGUACAGGCGUGACACUCAACAAUGUGAAUUUUCACCUUAGGGGACAAGAAAAAAUGGACUUUUUUCUCCUGCCAUGGGGGGGCGCUCUUUUGGGGAGUAAAAAUUCCUUCACAAAUGUGUUGAUGGCUGGACAUUGCAUAAUCCUAGAAAACUUGGAGGCCAGUGAGGAAAAAAAUAAAAAGUUAUAAGACUUUCAAGGCUGUGGAUUUUUGGGUUAUAUUUUGCGCCAUCUAGAACCUUAACCGUGGGGUGCAGCGUCAUGAUUUGUACAACUUUUAAUGGCCAUGGAGUGUAGAUUGGCCUGAGCAAAUGUGGUGCCGGUGGAACGAAAGCCUUCGGAGGAGUUAGCGAAAUUCCAAUGUGUGCGGAUCGGCAAAAAAUGUGAAAUAACCCUUUAACCGUAAAUUUGACAGAUAUUCCCGCACUGACUUUUUUGUAGAUCUUAUUGAGAUACAUGUGUGUGUCAAUUUUUGUGUCAAUAUGACAAAGCGUACAGGCGUGACAGUCAAUAGUGUGAAUUUUCACCUUAGGGGGCGCUAUGGAGCCAUUUUGCAUUUUAUUAUUUGGGCGACUUCAAAAUAUCGAAUUUUUCACCAGGCCUGGUCGUCCUGCCAAAUUUCAUGAGUUUUCGCCAGUGGGAAGUGGGCCAUUUUCCCCUUCAAAGAGGAGGAAAAAUAAGAACUAGGGCCCCGGUGGGGCACUGUCGGGCCCGAGCCGCGUCGCGCCGCCCCCAGCGCGACCGCCUCCCCCUCCCGAUCGCGUCACACUCAAGGUCCAAAGAUGGUGUGCGCACUUGUCUGUGGUCAUUUCCCAUUAUAAUGAAUGGGAGGCGCAGUUUCUACCAAAACACUCGCUGCAGACAAACUUCAUGUCCUAUUUGAAAAAAGUCUGGACCAUGAGUGAGGGCACAAACACAGCUAUGAUAUAUCGAAAUGGCAGGUUGCUCCUCCUUACGGUGUUGCCUGGAGAGCGAUGCGAUUGAGCCAUUGAGCGAUGGGCAGGGUUAACUUGAGUUUUUCUCCUGCCUUGGGGGGGGGGGGGGAUGUGGAUUCUUUUAAGAAUGUGGAUUUUUGGGUCAUCUUUGGCGCCCCCUAGAACGUAAACCGUGGGGUGCAGCGUCAUGAUUUUUACAACUUUGAAUGGCCAUGGGGUGUAGAUUGGCCUGAGCAAAUUUGGUGUCAGUGGGACGAAAGCCUUAGGAGGAGUUAGCCACAUUCCAAUGUGUGCGAAUCGGCAAAAAAUGCGGAAUAACCCUUUAACCGUACAUUUGACAGAUACGCGCGCAUUGACUUUUUUGUAGAUAUUAUUGAGAUACAUAUGUGUGUCAAUUUUUGUGUCAAUAUGAUAAAGCGUACAGGCGUGACAGUCAAUAGUGUGAAUUUCCACCUUAGGGGACAAGAAAAAAUUGACUUUUUUCUCCUGCCAUGGGGGGGGGCGCUCUUUUGGGGAGUAAAAAUUCCUUCACAAAUGUGUUGAUGGCUGGACAUUGCAUCAUCCUAGAAAACUUGGAGGCCAGUGAGGACAAAAAUAAAAAGUUAUAAGACUUUUAAAUAUGUGGAUUUUAGGGUUAUCUUUGGCGCCCCCUAGAACCUAAACCGUGGGGUGCAGCGUCAUGAUUUGAAUAACUUUUAAUGGCCAUGGGGUGUAGAUUGGCCUGAGCAAAUGUGGUGCCGGUGGAACGAAAGCCUUCGGAGGAGUUAGCGAAAUUCCAAUGUGUGCGGAUCGGCAAAAAAUGCGGAAUAACCCUUUCACCGUACAUUUGACAGAUACGCGCGCAUUGACUUUUUCGUAGAUCUUAUUGAGAUACAUGUGUGUGUCAAUUUUUGUGUCAUUUUGCCAAAGCGUACAGGUGUUAAACCCAACAAUGUGUAUUUUCACCUUAGGGGACAAGAAAAAAUGGACUUUUUUCUCCUGCCAUAGGGGGGCGCUAUUUUGGGGAGUAAAAAUUCCUUCACAAAUGUGUUGAUGGCUGGACAUUGCAUCAUCCUAGAAAACUUGGAGGCCAGUGAGGGCAAAAAUAAAAAGUUAUAAGACUUUUAAAUAUGUGGAUCUUAGGGUUAUCUUUGGCGCCCCCUAGAACCUAAACCGUGGGGUGCAGCAUCAUGAUUUGAAUAACUUUUAAUGGCCAUGGGGUGUAGAUUGGCCCGAGCAAAUGUGGUGCCGGUGGAACGAAAGCCUUCGGAGGAGUUAGCGAAAUUCCAAUGUGUGCGGAUCGGCAAAAAAUGCGAAAUAACCCUUUAACCGUACAUUUGACAGAUACGCCCGCACUGACUUUUUUGUAGAUCUUAUUGAGAUACAUGUGUGUGUCAAUUUUUGUGUCAUUUUGACAAAGCGUACAGGCGUGACAGUCAAUAGUGUGAAUUUUCACCUUAGGGGGCGCUAUGGAGCCAUUUUGCAUUUUCUUGUUUGGGCGACUUCGGAAUAUCAAAUUUUUCACCAGGCCCGGUCGUCCUGCCAAAUUUCAUGAGUUUUCGCCAGUGGGAAGUGGGCCAUUUUCCAGUUCAAAGGGGAGGAAAAAGAAGAAAGAAAGAAAGAAAGAAACAAAGAAAAACCCCUUGGGGAAUAAUAGGGCUCUCGCAGCUGCUUAGCAGCUACGCUCGGGC
rnacentral:lncRNA from 1 species